CCUAAGGUAGCGAAAUUCCUUGUCGGGUAAGUUCCGACCUGCACGAAUGGCGUAACGACUUCCCCACUGUCUCGACCAGGAGCUCGGCGAAAUUGCAGUACGAGUAAAGAUGCUCGUUAAGCGCAGAAGGACGAAAAGACCCCGGGACCUUUACUAUACCUUGGUAUUGGCAUUCGGUGUGGAUUGUGUAGCAUAGGCGGGAGGCCGAGAGGCGCGGUCGCCAGAUCGCGCGGAGCCGUAAGGUGAAAUACCGCUCUGUUCGCAUUGGAUGUCUAACCUCGAACAGUCAUCCUGUUCAGGGACAGUGCCUGGCGGGUAGUUUAACUGGGGCGGUUGCCUCCCAAAGAGUAACGGAGGCGCCCAAAGGUCCGCUCAGCCCGGUUGGCAAUCGGGUGGCGAGUGCAAGUGCACAAGCGGGCUUGACUGCGAGGACGACGGUCCGAGCAGGGACGAAAGUCGGGACUAGUGAUCCGGUGCCGGUGUACGGACGCGGCAUCGCUCAACGGAUAAAAGGUACCCCGGGGAUAACAGGCUGAUCAUUCCCAAGAGUCCAUAUCGACGGGAUGGUUUGGCACCUCGAUGUCGGCUCGUCGCAUCCUGGGGCUGGAGCAGGUCCCAAGGGUUCGGCUGUUCGCCGAUUAAAGCGGCACGCGAGCUGGGUUCAGAACGUCGUGAGACAGUUUGGUCUCUAUCCUCUGCGCUCGUUGGAAUGCUGAGGAGGCCUGCCCAUAGUACGAGAGGACCUGGGUGGACGAACCUCUGGUAUGCCGGUUGUCACGCCAGUGGCACGGCCGGUUGGCUACGUUCGGAAGGGAUAACCGCUGAAAGCAUCUAAGCGGGAAGCCUGCUCCAAGAUAAGCAUUCCGUGGAACCUUCGAGUUCCUGUAGUCCCCAUGCAGAACACGUGGUUGAUAGGCCGGACGUGGAAGCCCCGCGAGGGGUGGAGCCGACCGGUACUAACGGACGAAAGGCAACACUAA
rnacentral:rRNA from 1 species